rnacentral:rRNA from 1 species
CAGGCUUAACACAUGCAAGUCGAGGGGCAGCAUGGUCUUAGCUUGCUAAGGCCGAUGGCGACCGGCGCACGGGUGAGUAACACGUAUCCAACCUGCCGUCUACUCUUGGACAGCCUUCUGAAAGGAAGAUUAAUACAAGAUGGUAUCAUGAGUCCGCAUGUUCACAUGAUUAAAGGUAUUCCGGUAGACGAUGGGGAUGCGUUCCAUUAGAUAGUAGGCGGGGUAACGGCCCACCUAGUCUUCGAUGGAUAGGGGUUCUGAGAGGAAGGUCCCCCACAUUGGAACUGAGACACGGUCCGAACUCCUACGGGAGGCAGCAGUGAGGAAUAUUGGUCAAUGGGCGAGAGCCUGAACCAGCCAAGUAGCGUGAAGGAUGACUGCCCUAUGGGUUGUAAACUUCUUUUAUAAAGGAAUAAAGUCGGGUAUGGAUACCCGUUUGCAUGUACUUUAUGAAUAAGGAUCGGCUAACUCCGUGCCAGCAGCCGCGGUAAUACGGAGGAUCCGAGCGUUAUCCGGAUUUAUUGGGUUUAAAGGGAGCGUAGAUGGAUGUUUAAGUCAGUUGUGAAAGUUUGCGGCUCAACCGUAAAAUUGCAGUUGAUACUGGAUAUCUUGAGUGCAGUUGAGGCAGGCGGAAUUCGUGGUGUAGCGGUGAAAUGCUUAGAUAUCACGAAGAACUCCGAUUGCGAAGGCAGCCUGCUAAGCUGCAACUGACAUUGAGGCUCGAAAGUGUGGGUAUCAAACAGGAUUAGAUACCCUGGUAGUCCACACGGUAAACGACGAAUACUCGCUGUUUGCGAUAUACUGCAAGCGGCCAAGCGAAAGCGUUAAGUAUUCCACCUGGGGGAGUACGCCGGCAACGGUGAAACUCAAAGGAAUUGACGGGGGGCCCGCCACAAGCGGAGGAACAUGUGGUUUAAUUCGAUGAUACGCGAGGAACCUUACCCGGGCUUAAAUUGCAGAUGAAUUACGGUGAAAGCCGUAAGCCGCAAGGCAUCUGUGAAGGUGCUGCAUGGUUGUCGUCAGCUCGUGCCGUGAGGUGUCGGCUUAAGUGCCAUAACGAGCGCAACCCUUGUUGUCAGUUACUAACAGGUUCCGCUGAGGACUCUGACAAGACUGCCAUCGUAAGAUGUGAGGAAGGUGGGGAUGACGUCAAAUCAGCACGGCCCUUACGUCCGGGGCUACACACGUGUUACAAUGGGGGGUACAGAGGGCCGCUACCACGCGAGUGGAUGCCAAUCCCCAAAACCUCUCUCAGUUCGGACUGGAGUCUGCAACCCGACUCCACGAAGCUGGAUUCGCUAGUAAUCGCGCAUCAGCCACGGCGCGGUGAAUACGUUCCCGGGCCUUGUACACACCGCCCGUCAAGCCAUGGGAGCCGGGGGUACCUGAAGUGCGUAACCGCGAGGAGCGCCCUAGGGUAAAACUGGUGACUG